CGGCGGACGGGUGAGUAACGCGUGGGUAACCUACCCUGUACACACGGAUAACAUACCGAAAGGUAUGCUAAUACGGGAUAAUAUAUUUGAGAGGCAUCUCUUGAAUUAUCAAAGGUGAGCCAGUACAGGAUGGACCCGCGUCUGAUUAGCUAGUUGGUAAGGUAACGGCUUACCAAGGCGACGAUCAGUAGCCGACCUGAGAGGGUGAUCGGCCACAUUGGAACUGAGACACGGUCCAA
rnacentral:rRNA from 1 species